rnacentral:lncRNA from 1 species
AUGGUGUACCACAGCCAGGGCCAGAAAGUGCAGAAGGUUAUGGUGCAGCCCAUCAACCUCAUCUUCAGAUACUUACAAAAUAGACCCUGGAUUCAGGUGUGGGUCUAUGAGCAAGUGAAUCUGGACAGGAAGCUUUAUCAUUGGUUUUGAUGAGUGUAAGAACCUUGUAUUAGAUGAUGCAGAAGAGAUUCAUUCUAAAACAAAGUCAAGAAGACAGCUGGGUCAGAUCAUGCUAAAAGGAGGUACUAUUACUCUGCUACAAAGUGUCUCCAACUAG